ensembl:lncRNA
GUCGCCGAGGCUCGGGCCAGCCCGGCGGAUCGUGGAGAGGAGGAGCUGGCAGGGCUGAGUUGGCAGCGGGGCAAAGAGGGCUCACUUACUGGCGGCCGCGAGGGCGCGGGUGGGCCGGAGCUCAAUGGGACGACCCCAGGGCAGCGGCGGCUGAGCGGGAGCCGGAGCCGGAGCGGCGCGGGCGGCGGCGCAUCGAUGCGCUGCGGGCUCGAUUGCGUCUCCCUGGGCCAGCUCUUGGGCCGGGAAUGGGGCGGCAGCGGCGGGGCUGGCUCCGGGCGCUGCCGGGCGGCGGUGGCGGGAGUGCGGGGGCGGCCGCCAGACCCACGGACCCUUAGGCGGUGCUGCUUCUGGGCGCGCUGCUGGGGCCCUGGGAGUACCCUGUGAGCCGCGUGCGAGAGUCCGGGCGAGGGCCGAAGCCCCGCGCCCUGGGACUGACUGCCUGAGCGCUCUGGGAGCUGCAAACCCCGGCCUUCUCCCGUCUUUCCCUACCACCCCCCCCCCCCUUAUGUUUCUUUUUUAGUCUCUUUCCUCUCUUCUUCUGCCCCCUCUUCUCUUUAUUUUUUCCUUGUGAUUGUUUUUUGCAAGUUUGUUUUAAAAGUUCACAGGCAUACUUUCUUUUCUUUUAGACCAGGAGACCUCGAUCUCACCCUGACGGUAAGAUCAAAAGUCUCCGCUCGCCCCCAGCCUGCGGGCUUGGGCUCGGUCCAGACGCCUCCCUGAAUGCAGAUGUGCUGCCGCCGUCCUCCGGGGCUAUAAAGCCGCCUCCUGCGCCUUGGCGUGCGCAGGAGCGCACGGAGUUGCGGGAUGCGGACCCUGGGCGGUUGCGGGGAGUUGGAGUCUAGCUGCAGCUGGGCCCCGGGCUGGCCUCGUGCGUGGGGCGGGCGCGUGGCGCGGAGUUGGUGCCUGCGGCCGCAGAGGCCAGAGCAACUGCCCCUCCAGGCCCGGGAGACGCGGCCGUGGGGCGUGAAACGCUUCUUGCGAAGGAGAAAACGGGCACGAUUCUGCUUUUGUGGGACCAAGGACUGUCUGCAGACUGGACAGGAGGCUGUCUUCAUUGGAAAAUUCGUUUUUCCAAAGAUGAUCUGCAGUGAACUUUACCCAGCUGACUGUUCUUGGAGAGUGUGUGAGGUCUCCAAAAGCCAACAAGAAAUCAAGGUCAAAAUGGACACGAGAAACUCAGGGACUGUACGUGAGAUGUACUCAGAUACUCUGUCCACCUUCUGUUUUAGCCAAACUUCUGCAAGAAGGAAAAAAAAAAAGUGUCUGAUUUCAAUGGUUUUAAAGUUAUGAGGGGAAGUUGUAACUUCAGGCUACCAUCUGUCUGCCUCAAAUAUUUUACUUCUUGCUUAUUCUUUGUCAAAGUUUGCAUCUAUAGGAGGCCACUGGGAGUAGGAGGAAAAUUCAUGAUUUAUCAUAUGUUUUGAUUUGCUUGUAAUGUUUUAAAUAUGCUUCCACAGAGUCUCAGAAAGUACAUCUAAAAGGAGAGAAUUGUGUUCGAGUCAGACACAAAGUCUCUCCGAGAAAGGGGAGGGAUGCUUCAGGGCAAGCCCAGGCCGUGGCUGAGUCAGGCUGACCCUGGGCCGCUGCAGGGGAGCCACCAGGACACCGUUUGGUGUGUCCUCAGGGGACCAGCUAGGAGAGAUGUCUCGCUGAAAGAUGGCAAGUACACUCCUAUACACAGGGCACCACGGGACACAUCUCCUUGGAAGUGUGCUGAUUAAAAAUCUGUCAGCAAACCACAUAUCCCCAGGAGCCCUGCAGGUAACACAAACAAGUGACUUAGGACAGGGAUAAGAAAACUAUUUUCUCUUAUUUCCCUUGAAAUUCUCAGUCUUCUUAGUUGAGGUCUCAUCUCCCCACUUUUGAUCAUGACGUGGUACAAGGAACACUUCACACCCAACUUAACCUCUUUGCUAUGAAAAAACAUUCAAGCACCAUGAUAAAUAUCAAAAGAUUCAAGUAAGGUGUCUGGAAGAUAGUCAAGGGUGGUGGAGACCCCAAUGAUACAGGCCAGAGUUCAUCACUAUGGCAGGGAAUGAUGUGAGCAGCAUCAUUAGUUUAGAACUGUUUGCUCUAGAGUAGAAAGCAUGUGUACUGACUCCAACUGUGUUUUCAAGUAGGCUUUGUGGGGAGGGGUGGUUUUACAAUUACGUAGGUUUGAUGCAUAUUCUAACAACAGUUCCAUCAAGAAUCUGGGAGGUGGGAGGGAGCUUCGUGAGGGAGGGGACAUAUGUACACCUAUGGUUAAUUCAUGUUGAUGUAUGACAGAAAUCAAAUCAAUAUUGUACACCAAUCAUCAAUCAAUUAAAAAUAAAUAAAUAUUAAAAAAGAAGAAUCUGUUCUUU